CCCACCCUACUUGAUGGUAAUAGAGCUCACCGUUGCUCUAGCAACAUCCAAGCCUACUUGAUGGUGAUAGAGCUCACCGUUUCUCCUAGCGGUGGGUUUUAAAGGCAUCUCCCGACGUCCUCAGGACAUGGACAGACGUCCAAUUUGGAAGUGAAUCUUGAGCGACCUGGCUGGCCUGUUGUGUGCUGAUAUGUAUCACUAUAACGGUUAAAGCUGAUAUCUGUCAACAUACUGAACCUCUGUGCUGCUGUGCUGCUCUCCUCUCCUCUCGCGCUCUCUCUCUGUUCUCUUUCUCUCUCUCUUUCUCUCUCUUUCUCUCUCUCUUCCUCUCUCCUCUCUCACUCUCUCCUCUCUCCUCUCUCACUCUCUCCUCUCUCUUCUCUCUCUCCUCUCUUCUCUCUCCUCUCUUCUCCGUUCUCUAUCACUCUCUCUCUCUGUUCUCUCACUCUACCUCUCCCUUCUCUCUCUCUGGUUGUUGUCUGACACAGGUCACUGAGCUCUGAGCCCGUCUGACUGUGAUACAUUAACAGGUCACUGAGCUCUGAGCCUGUCUGACUGUGAUACAUUAACAGGUCACUGAGCUCUGAGCCCGUCUGACUGUGAUACAUUAACAGGUCACUGAGCUCUGAGCCCGUCUGACUGUGAUACAUUAACAGGUCACUGAGCUCUGAGCCCGUCUGACUGUGAUACAUUAACAGGUCACUGAGCUCUGAGCCCGUCUGACUGUGAUACAUUAACAGUGACUGGAGGAGCAGGGAGAACACACUGACACGUGGAUGAAUACACCCGUGUAUACGUUUGCUCCUGUAUGUGUGUGUGUGUGUGUGUGUGUGUGUGUGUGUGUGUGUGUGUGUGUGUGUGUGUGUUCAGUGCCUAGCUUAGAACAGAGCACGAUGCUGAUGUUGUUUGAUGUUAAUGAAAUGUUUUUGUAUUUUUUAAUUUAAUUUAACGAAUCCAUGGCCAAAGGACAGGCUUGGAGUACACACACACACACACACACACACACACGAAUAAAGGUCUUCAGACUAAACUUUGUUGACAGGAAACUACGCUCUAGCGCCCCCACAAAGCCUGAUGUCUCUCCCUUCAUCCCGUCAUCCCUCCAUCUUCCUCCCUCUGUCAUCUCUCUUCCUCCCUCUGUCAUAUCUCUUCCUCCCUCUGUCAUCUCCCUUCAUCCCUCCAUCUUCCUUCCUCUGUCAUCUCCUUUCAUCCCUCCAUCUUCCUCCCUCUGUCAUCUCCCUUCAUCCCUCCAUCUUCCUCCCUCUGUCAUCUCCUUUCAUCCCUCCAUCUUCCUCCCUCUGUCAUCUCCCUUCCUCCCUCCAUAUUCCUCCCUCUGUCAUCUCUCUUCCUCCCUCCAUCUUCUCUCUUACUCCCAUUCAAACCUCCAGCAACAUCUUACCACCUUUCCCUCUAUCUCUCUUUCCCUCGUCAUCUCCCUCUUUCCCUCGUCAUCUCCCUCUGUCCCUCGUCAUCUCCCUCUGUCCCUCGUCAUCUCUCUCUGUCCCUCGUCAUCUCCCUCUUUCCCUCGUCAUCUCCCUCUGUCCCUCGUCAUCUCCCUCUGUCCCUCGUCAUCUCUCUCUGUCCCUCGUCAUCUCCCUCUGUCCCUCGUCAUCUCCCUCUGUCCCUCGUCAUCUCUCUCUGUCCCUCGUCAUCUCUCUCUUUCCCUCGUCAUCUCUCUCUUUCCCUCGUCAUCUCUCUCUGCAUCCUUCUGUCUCCUUCCAUCCCUCUCCCCCUCACACCUCAAGGGACAUAUUUAUCAUAUUUAUCUCUCAACAUGCUUCCUUAACCUUACUGUAAUCCCCCUCUCUUUAUAUCUCUCCAUCUCUCCCUCAUCCCUCCAUCUCGUCCUCCAUCCUUCCAUCUCUCCAUCUCUCCCUCAUCCCUCCAUCUCAUCCUCCAUCCUUCCAUCUCUUCCUCCAUCCAUCUCUCCAUCUCCCCCUCCAUCUCUCCAUCCAUCUCCCCCUCCAUCCUUCCAUCUCUCCCUCCGUCCUUCCAUCUCUCCCUCCCUCCGUCCUUCCAUCUCUCCCUCCCUCCGUCCUUCCAUCUCUCCCUCCCUCCAUCUCUCCCUCCUUCCGUCCUUCCAUCUCUCUCUCCCUCCCUCCCUCCCUCCAUCCUUCCAUCUCUCCCUCCCUCCAUCCUUCCAUCUCUCCCUCCCUCCAUCCUUCCAUCUCUCCCUCCCUCCAUCCUUCCA
rnacentral:lncRNA from 1 species